UGGGGAAUAUUGCACAAUGGAGGGAACUCUGAUGCAGCGACGCCGCGUGAGUGAUGAAGGAACUCGUUUCGUAAAACUCUGUUCUAUGGGAAGAAAAGGACUGUACCAUAGGAGAAAGCUCCGGCUAAAUACGUGCCAGCAGCCGCGGUAAUACGUAUGGAGCGAGCGUUGUCCGGAAUUAUUGGGCGUAAAGGGUGCGCAGGCGGCUUUACAAGUUGGAUGUGAAAUAUUGUGGCUCAACCACAAACGUGCAUCCAAAACUGCAAAGCUUGAGUUAAGGAGAGGUAAGUGGAAUUCCUGGUGUAGCGGUGGAAUGCGUAGAUAUCAGGAGGAAUACCGGUGGCGAAGGCGACUUACUGGACUUAAACUGACGCUCAGGCACGAAAGCGUGGGGAGCAAACAGG
rnacentral:rRNA from 1 species